AGACAAAUAAUAAGGCCAAAGAGACUAAUAGAAGAAAUGUAAAGAGGUGAAUUUAAGAGGUCAUGUUACAAAUUGUUGAUAAGAGAAAAUAUAUGGUGUAAAAUUGUUGUAAACAAAACUAGUUGUUGUAUAAAGUUAAGAAAUUUACAGGUAAAUUUGAAAAAAAGGGAGAUGUAUUGAGAUGUGUAUAUUGCAUAAGUUGGCCACUAGAGGGCAGUGUUGUACUACCAAUACAGUUAAGUUAUGACUGUGUGUAACACCGGAAGCAGUGAAUAAACGGGGUUCCGAACGUGACACUCGGUGUGUAAGUCUCAUCAAUACAACCACCAGACAAAAGCUUUUCAGGACACAAUAGCCCCUGGCAGUGAAGCUGGUGGACUGGCACAUGGCGUACUCGACACCAAGGAGCUCCUCGAAGUCUCGUCGGAGUGCUCAUAUGCUUCGGGGAUCGGCAUUGGUGCAGGAAAGUUGGGCUCCAGGACGUGCUCCUUGCCGAAGAGAACCUCGGCCUGCUGGUUGAUGCCAGCCAUGACCACCAGCGACACGGAGCGAUGCCAUGCGGUGGUUCCACUGCACGGCAAAGGACACCAAGUAUACCUGAAACAAAUUUCCAUUUUGACUGUUAUUGUGUACAAUGUUUACAAGUGAUGACUGGAGCUGUGAAAUAAAAUGUAUCAUUGAAACUAUAA